rnacentral:lncRNA from 1 species
GGGGAACUGUGAGGAAUCUGAGAAGGUUGGAAGUCAGCCCUGACCAGAGGGGAUGGGAUGUGAGAGACGGAUGUCAGGUGGCAUGAGGCAAGGGAAGAAUUUCAGAGGCAGGAAGAAAGUACACAUAAUAGCUCCCUGAGCAGAAACAGAAAUGGGAAGGGAAUAUGAUCUGAGAGAGAGUUUCAUCUGCCUUUACAAUGCCGGAGGCAGAGAUUGGCACACAAGGACAGGGUCUUGUCUUCUGGUAGCUUGUCUAAUACAGGACACAGGCAAGCUCACAAGAAACUGCCUCGUAGGGCUGAGUGAAAUUUGCUGAUAGAGCUGCAGAAUCACAUUCCUCAAAGACAGGAAGGAGCUUAACGGCCAUCGAUGUCUUUUGAGCAGGGAGAGGCCUGAUGGGAUUUGGAGAGCUGCCUGUUUCCUCUGCACUGCAGGAUGGGAUUGAGCGUGCCCCUGGCUGAGGAAGGAGGGCACAAGGACGCUGCGGCCGACAGGCCAGUUUCCAUAGGCAAGCCGUGGCUCAGCUGGCUCUUCCGCUCCAAGUCUCACAAGGCUGCAAUCAAGGUGUCAGCCUGGGCUACAGUGUGAUCUGAGACUCAGGUCUUCUUCCAAGCACAGGUGGUUGUCUGCAGAAUUCAUUUCUCUGCCGCUAUAGAACUCAUGGUGGCUCGUUUCCAGGCCAACAGGAGAGCUUCUCUUCUGCUUCAAGAGCUUAAAAUUCUUCUUAUCAUGCCCAUUUUUGUAUUGGGUGGUUUGUCUUCUUACUGAGUUGGAUGAGUACUUUAUAAAUUCUAGGUACAAGCCCUAUGCAGAUGUACAUAUUGCAAAUAUUUUCUCCCAG